rnacentral:rRNA from 1 species
UUAGUGGCGGACGGGUGAGUAACGCGUGGGUAACCUGCCUCAUACAGGGGGAUAACAGUUAGAAAUGACUGCUAACACCGCAUAAUAUAGUGAAACCGCAUGAUUUUGCUAUCAAAUAUUUAUAGGUAUGAGAUGGGCCCGCGUCUGAUUAGCUAGUUGGUGGGGUAAAGCCUACCAAGGCGACGAUCAGUAGCCGGCUUGAGAGAGUGACCGGCCACAUUGGGACUGAGACACGGCCCAAACUCCUACGGGAGGCAGCAGUGGGAAUAUUGGACAAUGGGGGAAACCCUGAUCCAGCGAACCGCCGCGUGAGUGAAGAAGUAUUUCGGUAUGUAAAGCUCUAUCAGCAGGGAAGAUAAUGACAGUACCUGACUAAGAAGCCCCGGCUAACUACGUGCCAGCAGCCGC